rnacentral:rRNA from 1 species
GACGAACGCUGGCGGCGUGCUUAACACAUGCAAGUCGAACGGUGAUGGGUGCUUGCACCCUGAUCAGUGGCGAACGGGUGAGUAACACGUGAGCAACCUGCCCCCGACUCUGGGAUAACCCCGGGAAGCCGGAGCUAAUACCGGAUAUGAGGCGCCUGGGCAUCCGGGCGUCUGGGAAGAAUUUCGGUCGGGGAAGGGCUCGCGGCCUAGUAGCUUGUUGGUGGGGUAAUGGCCUACCAAGGCGACGACGGGUAGCCGGCCUGAGAGGGCGACCGGCCACACUGGGACUGAGACACGGCCCAGACUCCUACGGGAGGCAGCAGUGGGGAAUAUUGCACAAUGGGCGCAAGCCUGAUGCAGCGACGCCGCGUGAGGGAUGAAGGCCUUCGGGUUGUAAACCUCUUUCAGCAGGGAAGAAGCGCAAGUGACGGUACCUGCAGAAGAAGCGCCGGCUAACUACGUGCCAGCCGCCGCAGUAAGAC